rnacentral:rRNA from 1 species
UACGUAAGUGGCGAGCGUUAUCCGGAAUCACUGGGCGUAAAGCGUCUGUAGGUGGUUCGAAAAGUCCACUGUUAAAAAUUGAAGCUUAACUUCAAAGAUGCCGUGGAAACUUUCAAACUAGAGUGUGGUAGGGGUAGAGGGAAUUUCCAGUGGAGCGGUGAAAUGCGUAGAUAUUGGAAAGACCACCGAUGGCGAAGGCACUCUACUGGGCCAUUACUGACACUGAGAGACGAAAGCUAGGGGAGCAAAUGGG